rnacentral:lncRNA from 1 species
AUCAAAUAUAAACACGUAAACCAGUAAUGAACACCAAACAAAACAAUACAACAUCAGGUUCACCAUAAUUCAAAUAAUAAUAAAUGAAAUCAGGAUUCAUGCAUACGAAACUAUAAAAUAAACACAUUAAGUACCAUACUGCAUUUAAAACUAUAAAAUAGAUCAAACAAUAACUGACCAACAAAUACACCAGAUUCGGGCUCCAUUAGCAACUUUAAGGAAUUAUACACAUCU